rnacentral:rRNA from 1 species
CCUACGGGAGGCAGCAGUGGGGAAUAUUGGACAAUGGGCGAAACCCUGAUCCAGCGACGCCGCGUGAGCGAAGAAGUCUUUCGGUACGUAAAGCUCUAUCAGCAGGGAAGAAAAUGACGGUACCUGACUAAGAAGCCCCGGCUAACUACGUGCCAGCAGCCGCGGUAAUACGUAGGGGGCAAGCGUUAUCCGGAUUUACUGGGGGUAAAGGGUGCGUAGAGGGCUGCGCAAGUCUGGAGUGAAAGGCCGGGGCCCAACCCGUGGACUGCUCUGGAAACUGUGAAGCUUGAGUGCAGGGGAGGGAAGCGGAAUUCCUGGUGGAGCGGUGAAAUGCGUAGAUAUUAGGAGGAACACCGGUGGCGAAGGCGGCUCUCUGGACUGUAACUGACGCUGAGGCUCGAAGGCGUGGGGAGCAAACAGGAUUAGAUACCCCGGUAGUC